rnacentral:rRNA from 1 species
GUAGGUGGCAAGCGUUGUCCGGAAUUAUUGGGGCGUAAAGCGCGCGCAGGCGGUCCUUUAAGGUCUGAUGUGAAAGCCCACGGGCUCAACCGUGGAGGGUCAUUGGAAACUGGGGGACUUGAGUACAGAAGAGGAAAGCGGAAUUCCAAGUGUAGCGGUGAAAUGCGUAGAGAUUUGGAGGAACACCAGUGGCGAAGGCGGCUUUCUGGUCUGUGACUGACGCUGAGGCGCGAAAGCGUGGGGAGCAAACAGGAUUAGAUACCCUGGUAGUCCACGCCGUAAACGAUGAGUGCUAAGUGUUAGGGGGUUUCCGCCCCUUAGUGCUGCAGCUAACGCAUUAAGCACUCCGCCUGGGGAGUACGGCCGCAAAGGCUGA